GUCUUUGUGGCGCAAUAGGUCGGCGCGCCCGUACGCUGUUAACUGAAAGGAUGGUGGUUCAAGUCCACCCAGGGACG
rnacentral:tRNA from 1 species